ACUGUUUACCAAAAACACAGCUAUCUGCUACUAUUUAUAUACUAGUAUAGACAGCGAGCUCUGCCCAAUGCUACAAACUGUAAGGCUAACAGGUAUAUAUUAUAUAAAAAAUUUUAUAUGUGUCCAUAUAUAGUAGGUAGGUCCAAGACAUGUAAUUAUAUACUAUUAUAAUAGUAUAUAGUUACUGUGUCACUACUAACUAUAUAUGGGGCUACAUGUAAUAGAAUUGUACGUGUAUACUAGUAUAUAUUAUUCUUUUUAUAUUCUGCAGUAUGCCUGUAGCUAAUAGGUAGUAAAUGGCGGUCUUAACUAUAAGGAUCUGAAAGUAGCGAAAUUCCUUGGCCANNNNNNNNNNNNNNN
rnacentral:ncRNA from 1 species